UUUUGAAGUAAAAAAAGUACAGAGUAAAGUCAUGAUUUACGAAAUGCCAGAUGUUAGUGGACUGGAUUUUUUUAUUUCAACUAUGCCAAAUGCCAACUAAUAUAAUAAAUGCGAAAUUAAAUUUGUUUGUGACCUCUUCACGCUUUAUCUACUCAACCAAUCUUCUUGAAAUAAAAAUAACUGCUCCCGUGGGAAAAUCCUGCGGGCAGAGCCGCGGGCCAAGGCAAGAUUAUUAUAUUUAUAUGUUAGUCAGACAAAUGUACAAUAAUUACAAAUAAUAUAUCUCUUUGACACAUUGGCGAAAAUACUUGCCGAAUGGGCUUAAAUCCACUAAAUGAAAACGAGAAAUAUUUCGAAUUUCGCGUUCAGGUUCAGAAUGAUUUAGUAAUUAAUUUGUAUCGGGAAUGGAUUGUUGGAUGCGACGCUACAGAAUUAAACGGAAUUCCAAUAUUAAUCAGAGACAAUAAUUAGAGUUGCGCGAUAAUCGAACCCGGACAUCAAUUAAAAUUUAAUAGCUCAGUACCUACACAUGAUCUGAAAUAUCGUCUGCGUACACAUAUCAAUUUUUUGAACAUAAAAACACAACAUUUUAUUUUUAAAUUAUAUCAUGGUCAUCUUAGCCUAACAAUUGCGAAGAUUAAUUAGAUUAUAUAUUUUUUAAAUUUAGAAAAUUUUACUCAUUUCAACCCUAGAGAGAGGAAGUUAAUUACUUACUGUCUCUCUUUUCCAACCCAGGACGGGAAUCAGAAUUUUUCACCCGAUACGCGGUUGAAUUGAAACCUGCCGAGUUUACGAGCGAAAACAAUAUUUUAGUUUAGAUAUCAUAAUAUACCCUAGGUUCAUAUAAGAUAAAACAACAGAAUGUAUUGAAUGGAAUAUUUUCUUCGGUGAAUAAAAGCAUGUUGAUAGAGAUCAAUAAAAAGAAAAAGUGGUUUUCUUUUUGUCUUACUCAGAGCCUAUUCUACCAUUUUGAUUGUUAUGUGUCGUGAAAUCCAUUGUGCCUGUUGUUGAUAACGAUGCCAUGUUCCGGUUAGAAGUUGUGUUCAUUUGUUUAGCAAUAUUUUCUAUACAGUGUUCAAGAUUACAGACUAUAUUUCAUGAAAUAGAAAAUAGUGACGAACAAGGAAAGCUGAUAGUACACACUUGCGGAAAAGGAAAAGGGAUUUGUAUAGAAUCGGACGCAUGCCAAUGGAAAAAGAUCAUUGAUGAUUCGUCGGAGACAUGCAAUUACCAUGAGAAAGACCAAGUCUGCUGCAGGGUGGCUCGGGUCAGGAUGCCUCCUGAUAUCUUUGAAGCUUAUGAUUAAGGACAUAUCCGUACGGUGGAAUAUAUCCCAAAAAUAAAUCCGCAAAUUGCAUUAUUUUUUUAUAUGGAGUCAUUCGUAGUUGUAUGAUCCCGUGGCCAAUUCGAAGCAAAACACUGAUUUUCAUACCGCGCGAAUUUUUAAUUAAUAGAAUUUGCUGCUGUACCUAAUGUAUCCAUGUGUUAUAAUAGAAUGAAAUUUCGCAGUGCAGAUAGUCCAUACAAGGUCACAUACAAUAGCAGUCUUUACAUUUUAACAUUACAAGGCUUUGACAUUAAACAAUGGUAUAUGCUAUUUUAACAUUUAUUAUUGCUAUAUUUUCUUUGCUAGAAAUGUAAUAAGCAUAAUGGUAUUCGUUAUAGUUUAAAAUGCAUAAUUAAGUAAAUACGCACUAAGGAUCGUAGUGAGUGGUGAUGACGCUCGGAUAUGACACCUUGCUUAAAAAGUAAUGGAGGAGUCACAUGUCUCUGUGGCAUGUGGCAAAGGGGUAUCCACUAAGUAGAUUUAACAAUAUUUAAAAACUUUAUAAGUUUUAUAGGGAUCCCAAGGGAAUACCAUAAAAGGAGGGAAGAAAAUAUCCAGUUCAGGUGAUAAAUUUUACACAAUGCAUCGAUUUGGGAGAAUAACUUACAGUUGUGUUGCUGAUAUUUUUAUAUUGUUUAUACAAAACUGACCAUUGAAACAUUGUAUAAAGUUUAAAAUUAUAUUAUAACAAUGUCUAUAGUUUAUUCUAUAGGGAUAUAUACAUUCGUGUAUUUCUAAUACGUCUAAAGAUAAUAUCUUUAGAUGUAUCUUUAUCGAAAAGAAAUGGGACAGAGAGCUUUUCUCUCAACGUUUGUUUGAUUUUUAUUACGUCUAUAUUACCAUUUGUUAUAAUACUUAAUACAAAAUGGCAAGAUAGGCCGGAUGUUCUAUUUCAAUUGAUAAAUUGAUUUGAUUUGUUAGCUUGCUAUAAUUUUCUUUGUUUUUGCAUGGAGACAUACUUAGCGAUAAUUAAUACCAGUUUAUCAAGACAAAAUAAGAUCGGACGUUGACCGUGUAAUCUACUUCUUGGGGUCAGAGAAUAAACAUUUUUUAUAUCUUAUUUUAAAUCAUUACUUUCUGCAACAUUACCUGAUAUUAUUUAUUAUUUUGUAACUCAGAUAAAAGUUUGAUUGUUUGUAAUAACUUUAUUGUACGAAAAUGAGUAUAUCAAUUAAAAUGAAUACAAGAAAAAGAUAGUAGAUGUACAAGGGCGGACUUAAUCCAUUGUAUUUGAAAAUAAGAUUUAAAAUGUUCUGCAAUAUUUUGAUACAUACUAACGUAUUUGCAACAAAUCUGUUUACCUCCAAACGAAUUUAUAGCCCAAACAAAAAUAGCCUGUCACCCAUUAUCUAGAUCCGGCUAAUAAAGUUAGGCUAGCCAGGCAGUCCAAUCCAAUCUCCCAGUUCAUCGCUAUCCUCACUGACACUGGAUAUGUCCAUGUUUAUUUUGCUAUGUAAUUUGGCUAAAAGAAAACGUUAUUCCAUAUAUAUAUAUUGGUGUGAUGUCACAGAGAUAAUUUAACGAAAACUGGUAAGGUGUACUUCUAGAUUUACUUAACUAACGUAAUGACUAAUUUUGUCAAACUAUUUAUAAAGCCGUCAUUUAUUCAGCCUGCUUAUAUAUUUUCGUUAUGAUUAUAUCAACUAUCACUCAUUGAAGAGGUGGUGGCGUAAACGGCGUAAAGACAGCGGACGCCAGUAGAUCGAAAGGUCCCAGAUUCAUAUUAUUCGUGCCACAUGACUCGAUUACUCGUGCCACAUGGCAAUUUAAAAUUCGUGACGUCACUUUAAAUUACUGUUAUACAUACAAGUUCCAUAUUAAAUUUUGUUUUGACAUUAGAAAAACGUAUCUGAUUUGACUAGUUAGAAAGAAGGCAAUUGUAACAAAUAAAUUAAUAAUAAAAACAUAAAAACUUCCUGUC